UACGAAGGGGGCUAGCGUUGUUCGGAAUUACUGGGCGUAAAGCGCACGUAGGCGGGUUGUUAAGUCAGGGGUGAAAUCCUGGAGCUCAACUCCAGAACUGCCUUUGAUACUGGCAACCUAGAGACUGGAAGAGGUUAGUGGAAUUCCCAGUGUAGAGGUGAAAUUCGUAGAUAUCGGAAGGAACAUCAGUGGCGAAAGCGGCUUCCUGGUCCAGCACCGACGUUCAGGCACGAAAGCGUGGGGAGCAAACAGG
rnacentral:rRNA from 1 species